CGUGGACAUCCUGCAGCAGUUUGCACGCUCGCGAUCGCCCGUUCGCUACGGGCAGUGCUGGGUCUUCAGCGGGGUCACCACCACGGUCCUGCGGAGUGUGGGCAUCCCCACGCGCAGCGUCACCAACUUUGUUGUUGUGUGUGUGUAAGUGUGUGUAAGUGUGUGAGUGUGACAGUGUUGUUGUUGUUGUGGUUGUUGUUGUCGUUGUUGUUGUUGUGGCUCUCAGUCCUGCGGAGUGUGGGCAUCCCCACGCGCAGCGUCACCAACUUUGUUGUUGUUGUUGUUGUUGUUGUUGUUGUGGUUGUUGUUGUUGUGGCUCUCAGUCCUGCGGAGUGUGGGCAUCCCCACGCGCAGCGUCACCAACUUUGUUGUUGUGUGUGUGUAA